UUUGUUACAGAUUCCAAAAAUUACAUUCAAGAUGAAAUUGAUCUUCGCUCUCCUCGUUCUCUUACCAAUUGUCUUCAGUGCUCCAUCCGAGAGAUUUCUUUUGGAUACAUUUGGUUUGGACUCCGUUUUAAAACAGGUAGAACAGUUUGCUCAUUCUGGUAUGGCUCAUGAUACAUGUGUUGCUGAAUGCCAGAAAUUAGGUGGAUUCUUCUCAUCCUUCUGUGACCCUGCUUGCACAACAGCCCUCGCCCUGGUUCCAGCUGGACAAUAAACGUGUAUUUGCUAACAAUAAUAAGUUAUAUAGGUUUUGUAGUCUUACAAUAAAUUUUAUAAGUAAAUUAG